CCUUCCCUUCCGCAAACACAAACACUAUACAAAAGCAACCUCAAACAAAAAGAAAGAAAGAAAACGUUGAGGGAGCUCAAGGAAAAAUGGAGAACAGAGAGGGAGACAGAGGACGAGGGAGAAGAGAGAGGGAGGAACGGUGCCGCAGGACUUGGUGCCGCCGCUGCCAUCACGUCGUUUGGAGAGGAAGAGUCGCGUCUGAGAGAGGGAGAACCAGGAGGAGCGUCGCGCAAGAGGGAGGUGACUCCUUGUUGUCACGGUGCUUCCAUGGCCACCGACGCGCCGCCGUUUGAGUCGCGAAUAGGGGAACGCGCGCGAAGGAAACCGUCGCGGAGCUGCCAUCGCCGCCGUGUUGAUGGGCUUGCCGUCAUUCAGCUCGUGCGGCUGCUGCGUGUCGGAGCUCCUCGCCGCCGCUGCUAGCGCUGGAAACCACCUUUCAAGCCUGUAUCUGUUGGGAGGAGUCCGAGCAAGAAAAGGAAGAAGGUGGCGAUGGAUACCUCCGAUGCUGCUGCUGUUACUAUCGGUGUUCCGGAGCUUGUAGUUACUGCCGUUUUUAGUGAUGAACCUUGUUGUGUCCUUGUUGCUGAUUGAUUGUAGUGAGAGACGUUUUAGCCAUUACUUUUCAUCCUGGUAAGUUAUGGGUAAGGUCGCUUUGAUUCUUCUUUGUGCCAUUUUAUUUAUGCAGCUAGUUUUGAUUCGUUUUAUUUACCAGAGUCACUAUUGUCAUAUCUCGGUGCUGCUGCCCUUGUUUGGAACUACUGAGUGUUGUCUCCAGUAGCACUAUUCUUCCUAUUUUGAUUUCAACUCCUUUAAUUCUGAAAUUUAUAAUGUUUUUGCCUUUAUCCUACUGCUAUUUGGUUUUCUUGUGCUACCCUUACUCUAAUUACAGAAAUAUGUUUCCAUUCUAGCCAUCGUUGAUUUAUCUAUUGCAAAGUCAUAAUUGAUAAUGGAGCUGCUAAGAUCGCUGCUGCUGCCGUGAAUUGGGGAUAAAGGGGAUUAUUGAGUUAAAUUCUGCGAUUGAUACAUCGAGGAACCGGAUGAAGAAGCAUUAUGAAGAGUUAUCAUGUGUUUGGUUUAUAUGUUGUUGUAUUAAUUAGAUUAUUUUCUUCCCUCGUCUUUGUUAUUACAAUUUUAUAAGAGGGAUAGGAGUUGUAUGUUUUAUAUGUAUAUAUUAUAUUAUAAGAUAUUAUGUAAGGAGUCUUGUAUAUGAAUCUAU